rnacentral:rRNA from 1 species
UNUGGGCCGUUACUGACGCUGAGGAGCGAAAGCGUGGGGAGCGAACAGGAUUAGAUACCCUGGUAGUCCACGCCGUAAACGUUGGGCACUAGGUGUGGGGGGGCCUUUUCCGGGUCUUCCGCGCCGUAGCUAACGCAUUAAGUGCCCCGCCUGGGGAGUACGGCCGCAAGGCUAAAACUCAAAGGAAUUGACGGGGGCCCGCACAAGCGGCGGAGCAUGCGGAUUAAUUCGAUGCAACGCGAAGAACCUUACCAAGGCUUGACAUGUGCCGGUCGGCUCCGGAGACGGGGCUUCCUCCUUGUGGGGCCGGUUCACAGGUGGUGCAUGGUUGUCGUCAGCUCGUGUCGUGAGAUGUUGGGUUAAGUCCCGCAACGAGCGCAACCCUUGUCCCGUGUUGCCAGCACGUUGUGGUGGGGACUCGCGGGAGACUGCCGGGGUCAACUCGGAGGAAGGUGGGGAUGACGUCAAAUCAUCAUGCCCCUUAUGUCUUGGGCUUCACGCAUGCUACAAUGGCCGGUACAGAGGGCUGCGAUACCGUGAGGUGGAGCGAAUCCCUUAAAGCCGGUCUCAGUUCGGAUCGGUGUCUGCAACUCGACACCGUGAAGUUGGAGUCGCUAGUAAUCGCAGAUCAGCAACGCUGCGGUGAAUACGUUCUCGGGCCUUGUACACACCGCCCGUCACGUCAUGAAAGUCGGCAACACCCG